rnacentral:lncRNA from 1 species
AUAGCGUUGUCAUUUCGAAUAUCGAAAGAAAGUUAAGAAUACCCGAGACUUACGCGACAAACAUUUGGGGCGUACGAGGGUCCCUUCGACGAAUAAAUUAAGAUUUUCCGAAUAAAUACUUUUGUAAUAUAGAUUUUAAAUCUGCUAAUUAAUAAUUAAGACACAAAGUACGUUAUUUUUUAUUCUUUAAACUAUACCGUUAAUCGAGAUAUAUAUUUUCUUAUAAUUGCGUCAGUGGAGCCUCGCGGUGAUACAAAAGAAAUUUUUCGUCCGCCAUGUUGGCGUUGCUCCGAUACGAGGGCGGACUUACCAUAAUGUAAUCACAAAAUUCUGCAACGUAGAACAUUUUCGCUCGACUUGCUCAAGGACGCAGACACUUCUAAACAUGGCGACGGCUCCCGAUAAAAUUUCGGACGGGACCGGAUCAGGAGCAGCUUGCUCAUGAUCGUUUACAGAAGCCACGGUUGGAUGGCGCUACUAUACAGCUGGAACUCUCUGAUUGGUUGAAACGAAGGAAACGCUUGGCAACGUGGCAUCAAUGGGAUCAUGCGAUUGGUGGAAUGUUAAAAUGUUAAAACUACUAACUUUAAUCAAAUCAGCAACCAUUAUUCCUUGCUUGCAUUAAUAUUUCUUAUAUAUUCACAUUAACUUUUUUAUAUUAAACUAUUAUUCUUGCAUGAUUACAUUAAAAAUUAUCAAGAUUAAAUUUUAUUUAUAUGAUCUUAAAACAAAGACUGUUCGAACUAAUAUAAACUUAGAUAUAUCUUCUAUAGUUGAUCUAAAAAGGCUUUUAUUCUUUACUAAUCCUAAUAUAGCAUUAUAGAUCCAUGACCAUACAAGCUAAUAUUUAAUAAUCGCGAGUAUAAUUUCUUAUAAUAAUACGUAUAUAUGUUGCUUUUAUAGUAUCGUCAGCAUAAUUAUUACAAUUAUAAUCAAUUAUAUGAAUUAUACAAAGAAACUUCUAUAGAAAUAUAGAAUAGAUUACUAACGAGUACCUAUUAUCAAAAACAAAUUAAUAUUCGUAAAAAAAUAAAGCGGAUGCAAUAAGA